UUUAGUGGUAAAACUAGCCUUCCAAGCU
rnacentral:tRNA from 1 species